ensembl:lncRNA
AGCAAAUUCAUAUUUAAAUGCUAUGACAAAUAUGAACACUACCACAAUUUAAUGAUUUCCCUUUAUAUUAAUUGAUGAAUACAAUUAUCUUAAAAUGUAUUCCAAUAAUGGCCCAAAAUCUAAAUAAAAACUCAAGAAUAACUACGUACCUGAAACCUAGAACCUCUGUGCGAUUAAAACUGGAUCCAUAUUUGUUUCGAUAAACUGUGUCCAGCUGUAAAAGUAAUAUAAGCAAUUUUAGCAAUUUAUCUUGAGAACUGAAAUGUUGACAAACAAUUUGAGGGAACGUGUUUGACAUAAUGACAAAUAUAAAAACUUAUUUGGGGGAUGAAAUGCCCCUUUAAGAACCUGACAGCUGUACAACUGAAGAUGAACAGUAUUAUUAAAAGAGUGGAAAGUAAAACAGAAUUUACCGCUGUAGCCACAGUACUUGCUAAUGCUUUGAACGCUGGUGAAGAAACAUUUUUCAAAUCUGCUUUGAAGUUUUGCUCCAAUUUGAAGUCCAACUUAACCUCUGGUGGUGGAGGGGCAGGUGUUCUGAUAGUAGUUGAGGAACCAGUUGUAACUGUGGUCAGAGCAACUGUGGUUGUUGUUGGAGUAGCUGUGGUUGUUUUGGGAGGAGCUGUGGUUCUUGUGGGAGCAGCUGUGGUUGUUGUGGGAGCAACUGUGGUUGUUGUGGGAGCAACUGUGGUUGUUGUGGGAGCAACUGUGGUUGUUGUGAGACCAGCUGUGGUUGUUAUUGGAGCAGCUAUGGUUGUUGUUGGAGUAGUUGUGGUUGUUGUAGGAACAGCUAAGGUAGUUGUGGGAGCAGCUGUGGUUGUUGUUGGAGCAGCUGUUGUUGUUAUGAGGGAACCUGUGGUUGUUGUGGGGGCAGCUGUGGUUGUUGUUGGAGCAGCUGUGGUUGUUGUUAGAGCACCUGUGGUUGCUGUUGGAGCAGCUGUUGUUGUUGGAGCAGCUGUGGUUGUUGUUGGACCAGCUGUGGUUGUUGUGAGACCAGCUGUGGUUGUUGUGGGAGCAACUGUGGUUGUUGUGGGAGCAACUGUGGUUGUUGUGGGAGCAACUGUGGUUGUUGUGGGAGCAACUGUGGUUGUUGUGAGACCAGCUGUGGUUGGUGUGAGACCAGCUGUGGUUGGUGUGAGACCAGCUGUGGUUGUUGUGAGACCAGCUGUGGUUGUUGUUGGAGCAGCUAUGGUUGUUAUUGGAGCAGCUGUGGUUGUUGUUGGAGUAGUUAUGGUUGUUGUAGGAAUAGCUGUGGUAGUUGUGGGAGCAGCUGUGGUUGUUGUGGGAGCAAGUGUGGUUGUUGUGGGAGCAAAUGUGUUUGUUGUUAGACCAGCUGUGGUUGUUAGGGGAGCAGCUGUGGUUGUUGCGGGAGCAGCUGUGGUAGUUGUGGGAGCAGCUGUGGUUGUUGUGGGAGCAACUGUGGUUGUUGUGGGAGCAACUGUGGUUGUUGUGAGACCAGCGGUGGUUGUUAGGGGAGCAGCUGUGGUUGUUGUUGGAGCAGCUGUGGUUGUUGUUAGAGCAGCUGUGGUUGUUGUUAGAGCAGCUGUGGUUGUUGUUGGAGCAGCUGUGGUUGUUGUUGGAGCAGCUGGUGUUGUUGUUGGACCAGCUGUGGUUGUUGUGGGAGCAACUGUGGUUGUUGUGGGAGCAACUGUGGUUGUUGUGGGAGCAACUGUGGUUGUGAGACCAGCUGUGGUUGUUGUGAGACCAGCUGUGGUUGUUGUGAGACCAGCUGUGGUUGUUGUGAGACCAGCUGUGGUUGUUGUUGGAGCAGCUGUGGUUGUUGUUGGAGCAGCUGUGGUUGUUGUUGGAGCAGCUGUGGUUGUUGUAAGAGCAGCUAUGGUUGUUAUUGGAGCAGCUGUGGUUGUUGUUGGAGUAGUUAUGGUUGUUGUAGGAAUAGCUGUGGUAGUUGUGGGAGCAGCUGUGGUUGUUGUGGGAGCAGCUGUGGUUGUUGCGGGAAAAACUGUUGUUGUUGUGGGAGCAAAUGUGUUUGUUGUUAGACCAGCUGUGGUUGUUAGGGGAGCAGCUGUGGUUGUUGCGGGAGCAGCUGUGGUUGUUGUGGGAGCAGCUGUGGUUGUUGUGGGAGCAACUGUGGUUGUUGUGGGAGCAACUGUGGUUGUUAUGAGACCAGUGGUGGUUGUUGGGGAGCAGCUGUGGUUGUUGUUGUAGCAGUUAUGGUUGUUGUAGCUGCAGCUGUUGUAGUCUUAGCAGCAGCUGAGGUUAUUAUGAGGGAACCUGUGGUUGUUGUGGGGGCAGCUGUGGUUGUUGUUAGAGCAGCUGUGGUUGUUGUUAGAGCUGCUGUUGUUGUUGGGGAUUAGCUGUGGUUGUUGUUGGAGCAGCUGUGGUUGUUGUUAGAGCAGCUGUGGUUGUUGUUAGAGCAGCUGUGGUUGUUGUUGGAGCAGCUGUGGUUGUUGUUGGAGCAGCUGUGUUGUUGUUGGACCAGCUGUGGUUGUUGUGGGAGCAACUGUGGUUGUUGUGGGAGCAACUGUGGUUGUUGUGGGAGCAACUGUGGUUGUGGACCAGCUGUGGUUGUUGUGAGACCAGCUGUGGUUGUUGUGAGGCCAGCUGUGGUUGUUGUGAGACCAGCUGUGGUUGUUGUUGGAGCAGCUGUGGUUGUUGUUGGAGCAGCUGUGGUUGUUGUUGGAGCAGCUGUGGUUGUUGUAAGAGCAGCUAUGGUUGUUAUUGGAGCAGCUGUGGUUGUUGUUGGAGUAGUUAUGGUUGUUGUAGGAAUAGCUGUGGUAGUUGUGGGAGCAGCUGUGGUUGUUGUGGGAGCAGCUGUGGUUGGGGAGCAACUGUUGUUGUUGUGGGAGCAAAUGUGUUUGUUGUUAGACCAGCUGUAGUUGUUAGGGGAGCAGCUGUGGUUGUUGCGGGAGCAGCUGUGGUUGUUGUGGGAGCAGCUGUGGUAGUUGUGGGAGCAGCUGUGGUUGUUGUGGGAGCAACUGUGGUUGUUGUGGGAGCAACUGUGGUUGUUGUGAGACCAGCGGUGGUUGUUAGGGGAGCAGCUGUGGUUGUUGUUGGAGCAGCUGUGGUUGUUGUUAGAGCAGCUGUGGUUGUUGUUGGAGCAGCUGUUGUUGUUAUGAGGGAACCUGUGGUUGUUGUGGGGGCAGCUGUGGUUGUUGUUAGAGCAGCUGUGGUUGUUGUUAGAGCAGCUGUGGUUGUUGUUGGAGCAGCUGUUGUUGUUGGAGCAGCUGUGGUUGUUGUUGGACCAGCUGUGGUUGUUGUGAGACCAGCUGUGGUUGUUGUGGGAGCAGCUGUGGUUGUUGUGGGAGCAACUGUGGUUGUUGUGGGAGCAACUGUGGUUGUUGUUGGAGCAGCUGUGGUUGUUGUUGGAGCAGCUGUGGUUGUUGUAAGAGCAGCUAUGGUUGUUAUUGGAGCAGCUGUGGUUGUUGUUGGAGUAGUUAUGGUCGUUGUAGGAAUAGCUGUGGUAGUUGUGGGAGCAGCUGGUAGUUGUGGGAGCAGCUGUGGUUGUUGUUGGACCAGCUGUGGUUGUUGUGAGACCAGCUGUGGUUGUUGUGGGAGCAACUGUGGUUGUUGUGGGAGCAACUGUGGUUGUUGUGGGAGCAACUGUGGUUGUUGUGAGACCAGCUGUGGUUGUUGUGAGACCAGCUGUGGUUGUUGUGAGACCAGCUGUGGUUGUUGUGAGACCAGCUGUGGUUGUUGUUGGAGCAGCUGUGGUUGUUGUUGGAGCAGCUGUGGUUGUUGUUGGAGCAGCUGUGGUCAUUGUAAGAGCAGCUAUGGUUGUUAUUGGAGCAGCUGUGGUUGUUGUUGGAGUAGUUAUGGUCGUUGUAGGAAUAGCUGUGGUAGUUGUGGGAGCAGCUGUGGUUGUUGUGGGAGCAGCUGUGGUUGUUGUGGGAGCAACUGUUGUUGUUGUGGGAGCAAAUGUGUUUGUUGUUAGACCAGCUGUGGUUGUUAGGGGAGCAGCUGUGGUUGUUGCGGGAGCAGCUGUGGUUGUUGUGGGAGCAGCUGUGGUUGUUGUGGAAGCAACUGUGGUUGUUGUGGGAGCAACUGUGGUUGUUAUGAGACCAGUGGUGGUUGUUAGGGGAGCAGCUGUGGUUGUUGUUGGAGCAGUUAUGGUUGUUGUAGCUGCAGCUGUUGUAGUCGUAGCAGCAGCUGAGGUUGUUAUGAGGGAACCUGUGGUUGUUGUGGGGGCAGCUGUGGUUGUUGUUAGAGCAGCUGUGGUUGUUGUUAGAGCAGCUGUUGUUGUUGUUAGAGCAGCUGUGGUUGUUGUUGGAGCAGCUGUGGUUGUUGUAAGAGAAGCUAUGGUUGUUAUUGGAGCAGCUGUGGUUGUUGUUGGAGCAGUAAUGGUUGUAGUAGGUACAGCUAAGGUAGUUGUGGGAGCAGCUGUGGUUGUUGUGGGAGCAGCUGUGGUUGUUGUUGGAGCAGCUGUGGUUGUUGUUGGAGCAGCUGUGGUUGUUGUAAGAGCAGCUAUGUUUGUUAUUGGAGCAGCUGUGGUUGUUGUUGGAGUAGUUAUGGUUGUUGUAGGAACAGCUAAGGUAGUUGUGGGAGCAGCUGUGGUUGUUGUGGGAGCAGCUGUGGUUGUUGUGGGAGCAGCUGUGGUUGUUGUGGGAGCAACUGUGGUUGUUGUGGGAGCAACUGUGGUUGUUGUGGGAGCAACUGUGGUUGUUGUGAGACCAGCUGUGGUUGUUGUUGGAGCAACUGUGGUUGUUGUAAGACCAGCUGUGGUUGUUGUUGGACCAGCUGUGGUUGUUGUUGGAGCAGCUGUGGUUGUUGUAAGAGCAGCUGUGGUUGUUGUAAGAGCAGCUGUGGUUGUUGUUGGAGCAGCUGUGGUUGUUGUUGGAGUAGUUAUGGUUGUUGUAGGAACAGCUAAGGUAGUUGUGGGAGCAGCUGUGGUUGUUGUGGGAGCAGCUGUGGUUGUUGUGGGAGCAGCUGUGGUAGUUGUGGGAGCAACUGUGGUUGUUAUGAGACCAGUGGUGGUUGUUAGGGGAGCAGCUGUGGUUGUUGUUGGAGCAGUUAUGGUUGUUGUAGCUGCAGCUGUUGUCGUCGUAGCAGCAGCUGAGGUUGUUAUGAGGGAACCUGUGGUUGUUGUGGGGGCAGCUGUGGUUGUUGUAAGACCAGCUGUGGUUGUUGUUGGAGCAGCUGUGGUUGUUGUUGGAGCAGCUGUGGUUGUUGUUGGAGUAGUUAUGGUUGUUGUAGGAACAGCUAAGGUAGUUGUGGGAACAGCUGUGGUUGUUGUGGGAGCAGCUGUGGUUGUUGUGGGAGCAGCUGUGGUAGUUGUGGGAGCAACUGUGGUAGUUGUGGGAACAGCUGUGGUUGUUGUGGGAGCAGCUGUGGUUGUUGUGGGAGCAGCUGUGGUAGUUGUGGGAGCAACUGUGGUUGUUGUGGGAGCAACUGUGGUAGUUGUGGGAACAGCUGUGGUUGUUGUGGGAGCAGCUGUGGUUGUUGUGGGAGCAGCUGUGGUAGUUGUGGGAGCAACUGUGGUUGUUGUGGGAGCAACUGUGGUUGUUGUGGGAGCAACUGUGGUUGUUGUGAGACCAGCGGUGGUUGUUAGGGGAGCAGCUGUGGUUGUUGUUGGAGCAGUUAUGGUUGUUAUAGCUGCAGCUGUUGUUGUCGUAGCAGCAGCUGAGGUUGUUAUUAGGGAACCUGUGGUUGUUGUGGGGGCAGCUGUGGUUGUUGUUAGAGCAGCUGUGGUUGUUGUUGGAGCAGUUGUUGUUGUUGGAGCAGCUGUGGUUGUUGUUGGACCAGCUGUGGUUGUUGUGAGAUCAGCUGUGGUUGUUGUAAGACCAGCUGUGGUUGUUGUGGGAGCAACUGUGGUUGUUGUGGGAGCAACUGUGGUUGUUGUGGGAGCAACUGUGGUUGUUGUGGGAGCAACUGUGGUUGUUGUGAGACCAGCUGUGGUUGUUGUGAGACCAGCUGUGGUUGUUGUUGGAGCAGCUGUGGUUGUUGUUGGAGCAGCUGUGGUUGUUGUUGGAGCAGCUGUGGUUGUUGUAAGAGCACCUAUGGUUGUUAUUGGAGCAGCUGUGGUUGUUGUUGGAGUAGUUAUGGUUGUUGUAGGAAUAGCUAAGGUAGUUGUGGGAGCAGCUGUGGUUGUUGUGGGAGCAGCUGUGGUUGUUGUGGGAGCAACUGUGGUUGUUGUGGGAGCAAAUGUGUUUGUUGUUAGACCAGCUGUGGUUGUUGUGGGAGCAGCUGUGGUUGUUGUGGGAGCAGUUGUGGUUGUUGUGGGAGCAGCUGUGGUUGUUGUGGGAGCAACUGUGGUUGUUAUGAGACCAGCGGUGGUUGUUA